rnacentral:ncRNA from 1 species
UAAAGGCUUGGUCCUGACUUUACUGUCAGCUCUGGCUAAACUUACACAUGCAAGUAUCCGCACCCCUGUGAGAAUGCCCUCCAGUCUCCCGCCCGGAAACAAGGAGCCGGUAUCAGGCACGGUAAACACCUGCCCAUGACACCUUGCUUAGCCACACCCUCAAGGGACAUCAGCAGUGAUAGAUAUUAAGCCAUAAGUGAAAACUUGACUUAGUUAAGGCCUAGAGGGCCGGUAAAACUCGUGCCAGCCACCGCGGUUAUACGAGAGGCUCAAGUUGACAGACAACGGCGUAAAGAGUGGUUAGGGAAAUUUUAAACUAAAGCCAAACGUCCUCAAAGCUGUUUAACGCUCCCGAGUUAAGAAGAUCCAUUACGAAAGUAGCUUUACCCAUCCUGACCCCACGAAAGCUGUGACACAAACUGGGAUUAGAUACCCCACUAUGCUCAGCCAUAAAAUUUGAUAGGCCCCUACGCCCCCUAUCCGCCCGGGUACUACGAGCAUCAGCUUAAAACCCAAAGGACUUGGCGGUGCUUCACAUCCGUCUAGAGGAGCCUGUUCUAGAACCGAUAACCCCCGUUGAACCUCACCCUCCCUUGUUAAUACCGCCUAUAUACCGCCGUCGUCAGCCUACCCUGUGAAGGACUAGAAGUGAGCAAGAUUGGUAAGACCCAAAACGUCAGGUCGAGGUGUAGUGUAUGAGAGGGGAAGAAAUGGGCUACAUUUCCUAAAUCAGGAAACACGAACAAUGAACUGAAACAAGCAUUUGAAGGUGGAUUUAGCAGUAAGCAAGAAAACAGAGUGUUCUGCUGAAACAUGGCAAUAAAGCACGCACAUAUCGCCCGUCACUCUCCCCGAGCUAAUACGAAUAUAAUACCUAAAAAAUUACAUCUGCAAAGGGGAGGCAAGUCGUAACAUGGUAAGCGUACCGGAAGGUGCGCUUGGAACAAU